rnacentral:rRNA from 1 species
AUGUAUCACAUGGUGGACAGCAGGGACCAGGUAAUGCACGCGUUUGCUCCGGCGACGGCGCAGGGCGCGGCUCCGACCAUCUCGUUCGCCUUCCCCUGCCCCGGCGCGGAGCAGAGCGCCGGCCUGCUUCGUGGCGCCAGCUACCUCACUCCCGCGCAAAUCCUCCAGCUCCAGUCGCAGCUGCACCACGUGCGCCGGGCGCCGGGCGCGGCCAUGGCCGCGGUGGGGCAGCCGAUGAAGCGGCACGGCGUGGCAGCGCUCCCGGCGCGGCCGGCGACCAAGCUUUACCGCGGCGUAAGGCAGCGGCAUUGGGGGAAGUGGGUCGCCGAGAUCCGCCUGCCCCGCAACCGCACCCGCCUCUGGCUCGGCACCUUCGACACCGCCGACGAGGCCGCGCUGGCCUACGACGCCGCCGCCUUCCGGCUCCGCGGCGAGUCCGCCAGGCUCAACUUCCCCGAGCUCAGGCGCGGCGGCGAGCACCACGGCCCGCCGCUCGACGCCGCGAUCGACGCCAAGCUCCGCUCCAUCUGCCACGGGGAAGACAUGCCCCAGAGCCAGAGCGAUGAGACGCCGGCGCCGACGACGACACUGACGCCGAUUUCUUUCCCGGACGUCAAGAGCGAGCCAGUCUGCUCCGUCUCCGAGAGCUCGUCGUCGGCUGACGGCGAGGUGUCCUCGUGCUCCGACGUCGUCCCGGAGAUGCAGCUUCUUGAUUUCUCGGAGGCUCCAUGGGACGAGUUCCUGCUGCGCAAGUACCCGUCGCUCGAGAUCGACUGGGACGCGAUCCUUUCUUGA